AAUGAGCGCCAGAACUUUUAAAGUUGACGAGGUCAGUGGUUUAUCGAAAUUUUCGGCGGAUGCCACUGCGGUUGAUAACCGUUAAAUAUACUACAAAAAAUAAAAUAUGUCAUUAUUACAAAAAGUAUA
rnacentral:ncRNA from 1 species